GAGGGUAUAGCUCAGUGGUAGAGCACAUGCUUAACAUGCAUGAGGUCCUGGGUUCAAAACCCAGUACCUCCA
rnacentral:tRNA from 1 species